rnacentral:rRNA from 1 species
GUGAUCACACCAGCACUAAUGCACCGGAUCCCAUCAGAACUCCGAAGUUAAGCUUGCUUGGGUGAGGGCAGUACUAGGAUGGGUGACCCCCUGGGAAGUCCUCGUGUUGCACCU